UAUUUAUCACUGUAAAAAGUAAAAAAAAAACUCCCAAAUGCAUUUGUAGGUAGCUAGCUAAUAGCCAUGGAGGAGGGGGAAAGGAUAGCAGCCCCAUCUGCCAAAGUGAGAGAGUAGGCUGUUCUGGAGAGGGCAGGUUCUGUUGUGUAGUUCCAGUCCCUAGAAGUGAGGACGGAGAUAACAGUAACAUCAUAUUCAGUGCGGUCUAAUUUUAGUAUAGUGAAGUCUGUUUCUUGUGAGGUUUUCUGUCCUCAGGUACAGAGAGCAGUGAAAGCCUGUCUGCAGAUGAAGAGGUCCCGAUGAAGAGCAGUGGUUCUCUGUCGUGGUCCUGGGGACUCGAAGGGGUUGCACGUUUUUUUUGCCUUAGCACUACACAGCUGGUUCAAAUGAUCAAGCUUCAAGUGGUAUUUAUGUGUUCAUUUGGGAUUCUAUCCUUGAUAUGAUCCUGCUAUUGUCACGUGCUGCACAUGCAUCUAUCUAUCCAAUGUUAUCAUGAUUUGUUAUAAGGGAUAUGAUACUUUAGUAAUCCACAAUGACCUGGUGAUGUAAAAAGUCUAAUAAUGGCAUUAUCUUCCAUAUUCCUGCAGAUACCUUGUAACUGGAGAUUCCUUCAAAACGAUUGCCUUCAGUUACCGUGUAGGGCACUGCAAGGUUGGGUGACCAGGGCCAUCUGGGACUGCCUCCUGGGGGAAUUCAGGCCUGUGUGUGAAGGCUUCCUGUGUCCUGCAUAACUAUCAUGAGGAUGGACGCGAGGACCAGGAGGGGGCCUGCAGCUCGCCACCGUGUGCCAGAGGAGAGGUCUGCUGCUCUGCAGGAUGUUACCAUGAUGGGGGCCAACAACGCAGCACAGGAGGCAAUCCGUGUGCGGGAGAUCUUCACCUCCUACUUCUUCGAAGGGUGCUGUUCCCUGGCAACACCAUAGACUACACUAUGCACAACCAAAGGCUCUUUUAAGAGUCCCCCAUAUUGAAAACAAUUAGACACCCUAUAACCCACACCUACACACUCAAUCUGGUUGAUGGAUUGUGCAGUAAGCAAGCUCAGGUGUAGAACUGUGGCUCCUUCCACCUCCAAAAGGACAGGCCAGAGGACCAACCAUGGAGAAUAGUUAUAUCAGCUGUGUCGGUGAACCCCUCCCGCAUCUGAACUGGCUACACAGAGGGCACAGCAGGAUCAGAGGUAUGUUUUGAUGGGUGCCAACCUCCAGUCCAGUCCAUCUCACCCGCUCUUAAGAUCACCUUCUGGCCAACUGGGGGCCCAAGGCUGUUAGGAGACACCGCUAGAGACACUAUUAUGGAAUUGUGAUGACCUGAGA